rnacentral:tRNA from 2 species
UCUAACGUGGCAGAUAAGUGCGGUGGAUUUAAGCUCCACAAACAAAGUAUUGAAACUUUCAUUAGAA